GCAGACUUGGGCGUCCGAAGCGAAGACCGAACUACAAGUCCCACCGCGCCCCAGGCCGGGGUCUCCCGUUCGGCCGGCCAGCCGGCUCCCGGGCGUGGGGACACCCCUCACCUGCCGUGGCCGCCGACGUCGCUGCCCCGGAGCCGCCGCCACCCCCGCCACCGCGGUGGGGAGCGUUCCGCUUCUUGUUCUUCGGCAUCGUGGGCCGCCCGGUGCCGCCUACACUUGGAGCUCAGCGAGGAUCAGCCGAUGGAGCUGCACUGUCUACUCGUGCGUCUGUGCGGCGGGCGGCUGAGAGGCGAGUCUCGGGCUAACAAGAGAGGCGAGGAGCGGCGCGGGUGAGAAGCGGCAGCAGCAGCAGCAGAAAUCCCCGUGAAGAGCUGCGAGCGGAAACGAUACAUGUUUCUCUCUAGCGCGGGAGCGAAGGCGGGGUGGCCAGACCACGACGCCUUAAGUAGCCAGACGGCGGCUUGUCGUCACCAUGCGUGGGCGGGCCUCCAUCGCUCGCUGGCCAAUCGCUGCAGAUCUCCCCACCGCGGCGUCCACUGGGGCGGUGCCUGCAUUCGGACUCCCAUUCCCAGAGCCUCAGUCUGCCCUCGGUGCCUGGGCUGCUAUGCCUUAGGGCCGCGUGGAGCUUUGGGAGAUGUAGUUAGCGAGAGGGCGCGGCCUUCUCCGGGCUCCUCCCAGUCCGAUUGCGUCGUGACCUCGUCCCAACGAGGCGUCCGCCCUGGAAUUCACCCGGGUAGUCACCGCGAUGAGCCAUGCGGCAGUUAUGCAGCUUGAUGAACGUCAGCUUAUCGAUCACAGAUGGACUGUUCACAAAGAUUCGAUUGGAAGAGCAACGUUCAAGGUUUGCUUUACUCUGUGUUCUCUUGAAGAACAAGUAAACUGCACAGAGCAUGGCUACCAAACUGGGACGCAGACAUGGACACAGGCCCCCACUGAGUCCCUUGUGUCUGGACAGGCACACCUGAAAUCUGACAUGAAGUGAGGGUUCUCAGUAGGUGAGGCAAAGAGCUAUACAUGUUGACACACCUUAUAACCACAAGCUUAAUUCUCAAGAUAAGUUGAUAUACAGAACAGUAACUUGCUACUCUGUGAACCCCAUCACCCAGGUGUAAUAGCGUCUAGACUUUGAAAAUGAUGCCUUACCAGAGUUUGCGAUGGGUGUGUUCUUUUUGUAUCCACUCAUGUGUACACAGGGGCUUUUCUUGGACAGCCUGUUCAGAGCCUACCAUAUCAUACAGUGCUUCUUUUACAUUCAUUUGUGAACACUUCUAUCAUGUCAUGAAAUUAUCCACUUCCUCAAGACAAAAAUCCCUGUUUGCAUCAUCUCUCUAUUCCUUAUGGCAAAUAAAUAAAUAUU
rnacentral:lncRNA from 1 species